GACGAACGCUGGCGGCGUGCCUAAUACAUGCAAGUUGAGCGCUGAAGGUUGGUACUUGUACCGACUGGAUGAGCAGCGAACGGGUGAGUAACGCGUGGGGAAUCUGCCUUUGGGCGGGGGACAACAUUUGGAAACGAAUGCUAAUACCGCAUAAAAACUUUAAACACAAGUUUUAAGUUUGAAAGAUGCAACUGCAUCACUCAAAGAUGAUCCCGCGUUGUAUUAGCUAGUUGGUGAGGUAAAGGCUCACCAAGGCGAUGAUACAUAGCCGACCUGAGAGGGUGAUCGGCCACAUUGGGACUGAGACACGGCCCAAACUCCUACGGGAGGCAGCAGUAGGGAAUCUUCGGCAAUGGACGAAAGUCUGACCGAGCAACGCCGCGUGAGUGAAGAAGGUUUUCGGAUCGUAAAACUCUGUUGGUAGAGAAGAACGUUGGUGAGAGUGGAAAGCUCAUCAAGUGACGGUAACUACCCAGAAAGGGACGGCUAACUACGUG
rnacentral:rRNA from 1 species